CGGACUUCCGGUGGUAGGGCCAAGGACUUGGGGCCUGCGGCGCAGGGUCCGUGACGCGGAAGGCGGGCCGCCGGGGCCGCGGGGCCGCCGGGCCGCCAAGAGGACGGUGGGGCGGAACGGGGCACGCGCGGAAGGCCGGGCCGGGCCCCACCGAGGCCCGCCGCCAUGGACCCGUUCCUGGUGCUGCUGCACUCGGUGUCGACCGGCCUGUCGAACGACGAGCUGACCGAGCUCAAGUUCCUGUGCCGGGGCCGCGUGGGCAAGAGGAAGCUGGAGCGCGUGCACAGCGGCCUGGAUCUCUUCAACGUGCUGCUCGAGCAGAACGAGCUGGACUCCGAGCACACCGAGCUGCUGCGCGAGCUGCUGGUCUCCCUGCGGCGCCAGGACCUGCUGCAGCGCCUGGACAACUUCGAGGCGGGCGCGGCGGGCAGGGCCCCGCCGGAGGAGCGAGACCUGCGUGCGGCAUUUGACAUCAUCUGUGAUAACGUGGGGAAGGACUGGAGAAGACUGGCCCGUCACCUUAAAGUGACAGACGCCAAGAUCGAUGCCAUCGAGGAGAAAUAUCCCCGCAACCUGACAGAGCAGGUGAGGGAGUCACUGAGAGUCUGGAAGAGCACCAAGACGGAGGACGCAACAGUGUCCCACCUGGUGAGGGUGCUCAGGGCCUGCCAGCUGAACCUGGUGGCCGACCUCAUCGUGGAGCAUCAGCAGGCCCGGGGCCUCGAAAAUGAGAACGAGAACGAGAGCUGUAGAGGCGGCGGCGACAGCAUCUCCGUGUCCUUGACAUCCUGGGACUCGGAUGGGCCCGCCUUGGGGGCCCCCUGGUGACCCAGCUGAUCUUCUCCGGGGGCCCGAGGGCAUCCGCACAGCCCCAGCUUGGGUCCUCCCACCAAGCCUGACCAAGUGCCUUCCACUCGCCGGUGCUGUGAAGACCUGGCCGUGAGCUGGUGAGGGGGGGCCCAGCGCUCGAGCCACGGCUGGCUUCUCAGUCGGAGCAGGCGUUCACAGAGCGCUUAUUCUGUGCCCGGCAGGGCUUCGGGCACUGUGCAGUUUCAGUACCCCUUGCCGCCUGAGGCUGAACCGUGAACUUGGCAGCUGGGCUUCAUAACAGCUCCAGGAGCCGCUAACGGGGAGCGUGUGCGCUCAGCAAACUGGUCUGCUGGAGGCCACCUUUCACCAGCUUCGGGCCCGCCUCCCGCUGAGAGGCCUCAGAGAGCUAGGUGGCCGUCCCUUGUUCAGGCCUUCCAGCUGUGACCUUGGAAAAGCCACACGUGAUGUCCUGCCUCGCCACCGUGGCCUUAGGUUGCUGGGAUCCUGUGCACGCCGUCCUGCUAAGCUGCGGACCAGCCUUAGCCCGUGCACGCCUUCAGCAAGUACGUACUGACGCCAGGCACGGCGAGGGGCUGGGGCCGCCACAGGAAGUGAGAGCGACGUGGCCCCACUCUGUAGACCCCCGGCUCGUGGCCAGGAGCACGGGUUAGGCAGCUCACAGGCUCAGGGUGCCAUGGCGGCGCGGCCUGGCCCUGUGCCGUGUGCCGCGUUUCCCCGCUGCCGGCGCACCUGCUCUCCAGGCCUCAGGCGGAGCUGGCCUGUGCGUCACGGACACGUCAGCGCUGCCAGUGAGUGUGGGCGGCUUGGCUGAUGGGUCGCUUUGGAGAGAAGGUUUACUGAAAAAUCAUGCCCCUGUUUCUUGAACAGAGGCAGAUUUCAGACGUUCCGCCGUUCCCUCAUGGCUUAUGAGAUAAGCUGCUGGAAGGGCAGAUGCCAGACACCCGCACGUGCACCCUGCCUCCCCCGCACGCCUCUCCCUCCGUCACACCUUCACACUGCUGCGACAGAGGCUUCAGUGACCUGUGGUUUCCGCACCUGAAAUAGCCCAUGGCCGGCUCACUCCUGUGGCCCGUCUCCCAGUCCCCCAGGGUGUGAGGGCACCAGGUUUCCCCCCCGCACUCGCAUCCCGGGUCCUCCAUGGAGAGCAGCUGCUGGCCACGCAGUGAGGGAGGAAGAGCAGGGCUCUGGAGCAGCUGCCCGUGGCCUCCCCUCGAGGCCGGGAUCUGAAUUCCGAGACUCCGAAUAGGUGAUGGGGGGAGAGUCUCCAUCCUGUGCCGCGAGGCCAUCGCGCCGCCCGGUUCGCAGGCCCGGAGGUGGGCAGAGCCUGGAGCCUGGAGCUGCGGGGUCAGCUUACGCUAACGGCCGCCCCCCCAGAUGGCUGGCUCAGAGCCGGAUGGAGGCCCGCGUUUGUUCAGCCCGUUCGCACGUCCGUGUUCCGGAGGCUUCUGUCUCACCAGCCCCGUGCCAGGCUUUGAGGUGCAACAACGGGACAAGUAGCCUGCCCCUUGGGAAGCACACGGUUUCCCCUACUUUGUGGAACAAAAGGGAAAGUGUAGUGAAAGUAGACACAAGCAGAUAGCAAAAGCACAAAAGCUUGUAUGGGCACCAGAAAUGGAAAGAUGCACGGCAAGUCGUAGAGAAGGAUGGCUUUUAAAUGAUAUUUAUACUUCCUGCAUUUUCUAUAUUUUCUGUAAUGUGUUUUCACUGUCUGCCAGAUAAAGGACUAGGUGUAGCUUGGACUGUUUGGUGGCGGUGUCCCCAGAGAGCCACAGAGCACGCGGGCUUUCGGGUGUGACCUGGGGUCCACCGCUGGCUCUGCCCCUUGUGGCUUCAUCACCCUAAAAAGGGACGAUUCGGUAAAUACCAAGUGCUUGCCCGAAUCUGUGGCACCUUGCUCCUCAGGUGCCUCGAAAGUAAGCAGCAACGUGUCCCCGAGAGCCGCGGAGCUCUGUCCCUCGUGACCUCACUACAGUGGGCCCGCCCGUGGCCGCUGCUCCUGAGAUGUCGCCUGUCGCCCGCACGUCUCCGUGUCUUCCCCACCAGUGAUCUGAGCCACUGCUUCAAGGGAGAAGGUCUGGGAUGGGUCUGACUGACAUCUGAUUGGACCAGUGACACCCGCCCUGGGCACGGGAAUGGCUGCAGUUUUUAGAGGAAUUUCUUGUGGCAGGAUCGCAAAAAACAACUUCUGUUCCAUUAAUAUUUUUUGUAAGAUUUUUUUGUGGAAUUUGUACUUCCAGUAAAGGUUGCUCACAAGUCUCACGGUUUACUUGAGAGUUAAAGUCAGAGCCGCCUUCUGCUCUUAAGUUCUUUUUCCCCCGAGAAAGACAGGGGAAAGGCCCAAAUGUACGUGCCUUGUGGGGGAUGUCAGGCCAACGAAGGGGAGUUUCGUCAAGUGUUUGCUGAAACAGAGGGCCAACUCCCUAGUCUCAUGCCCCCCCGGAUUUCCCGGCUUCACUCCCCCUUCUGCCCUCCCACCCCAGCCAGCCCUGCUGGGCUGUGGACAUGCAUACACACAGGGCUCUGUUAGGCCCUUCCAGACCCUUCCAGAGGCUUGCAUUGGAGCAGGGUCCAGGCAGACCCUCCGCCAUCUCAUCUCCUUGCUCCCCUGCUGCGUCUUCCUACCACCCCAGGACCACUCCCCCGCUGCUGCAAGCUGCACCUGUGAGGUCCCAGGUUGCCAAACCCACCGUGUCCUUUGUGGUGUGUUGCUCAGCCUCCGGGGCAUUUGAUGCUUGUCUUGAUAAUCGCAUGACAUUUUCUCCUGCUGGUUCUCCUUCCUCUGGCCACCACAUCCAUCUCAGACCCCACAUUCCUGUCCCUGCACAUCCAGAACCCUCUUCCCACUCAGCACCCAGGGAAGCCAGGCCCUCAGCCUCACCUGCCAGGUCCUCAGUGCCUGCCACAUGGUUCUCUGAGGCCCCAGACCCUUCUUGUCAGCUGCCGAGGGGUCAAAACCUUUUGCCAUGUCAGCGACAUUCACGGGUCCAGGGUUUAGGCCGUGGGUGUCAUGGGGGUCAGGCAUUAUUCUCUCCACCGCACACAGACUCCGCAUCUCGCCCUGCCUGACUCUGGUUCUAUGCCUGGCACCGUGAUCCACCCAAUUGCCAAAGGUGGAGACCGGGCCCCCUCCCCCUUGGAGCUUGCUUCCAUAUGUAACAGCCUCUCCUUUCCAUGCCAUGUCCUGCACUCCCCCCCCCACGGAGCCCCAUCCCUUCUCUUGAGGACCCCACCUGCCAUCAGCCUCCAGACAGAAGCAAUAUCCGACUACAGACCCCUGACUCCUUAGCAACUGCAAGCUCUCCGCGCAUGUUUUAGGGUUGUGUUUGUAUUUCCGUGACACCGCCUCUGAGUCAUCUUGCUCACGGCUUUCUAGCCACGUGAUUCUGUGCGCGCUGUGUUUGGACCGGCCGGCAAGCAGGGCUGUGCUCACGUGAGGACGGCCAGUCACCAGACGUGCUGAUAGAGACAGAGCUUCCCUUCUGCAGGGAAAAUUGGCAGUGGAGAUCCCCUUUCAUCAAAGAAGCCCUGUGUCUUAAGUCUCCGACUAAGUGACACAGACAGCAAGAGUCACACGUGUAUACUAACCGCAUUAAUUGUCACCAAGGAACAGAGACCGAUUCAGUGCUGAGUGGCGUCCUCACUGAGCCUGAGCACGGGACCUAUGGAUGGCGCUCUCGUGGUGUGGCUUGAAUGGAAUAACAUCCCGGGCUCUUUGAGUCACUCAGGCAUCAGUCCGAUACGAGGCCUCCCGAUCCCCCCAAACCUGCCUGUCAGGCGGUUGGUGGGGAUGUCCCCAGCAGUGUGAAUGUGCUGAGUGGCCCUCAAAAAUGGCUAAAAGGAUAAAUUUUAGUACAUUUUACCACAAAAAGCAGGCCUCAUAUUAAAUUAACUGUGCAUUUUAUUGUGA